UACGAGGGGGGCAAGCGUUGUUCGGAAUUACUGGGCGUAAAGGGCGCGUAGGCGGUCUGUUAAGUUCGGUGUGAAAGCCCCCGGCUCACCUGGGGAACUGCGCCGGAAACCGACAGACUCGAGUACCGGAGAGGAGGGUGGAAUUCCUGGUGUAGCGGUGAAAUGCGUAGAUAUCAGGAGGAACACCGGUGGCGAAGGCGGCCCUCUGGACGGAUACUGACGCUGGUGCGCGACAGCAUGGGGAGCAAACAGG
rnacentral:rRNA from 1 species